GUAGGUGGCAAGCGUUGUCCGGAAUUAUUGGGCGUAAAGCGCGCGCAGGCGGUCCUUUAAGUCUGAUGUGAAAGCCCACGGGCUCAACCGUGGAGGGUCAUUGGAAACUGGGGGACUUGAGUACAGAAGAGGAAAGCGGAAUUCCAAGUGUAGCGGUGAAAUGCGUAGAGAUUUGGAGGAACACCAGUGGCGAAGGCGGCUUUCUGGUCUGUAACUGACGCUGAGGCGCGAAAGCGUGGGGAGCAAACAGGAUUAGAUACCCUGGUAGUCCACGCCGUAAACGAUGAGUGCUAAGUGUUAGGGGGUUUCCGCUCCUUAGUGCUGCAGCCAACGCAUUAAGCACUCCGCCUGGGGAGUACGGCCGCAAAGGCUG
rnacentral:rRNA from 1 species